UACGUAAGUGACGAGCGUUAUCCGGAUUUACUGGGCAUAAAGCGCGUGUAGGUGGUUUUUUAAGUCAGGUGUUAAAGGCAACAGCUCAACUGUUGUAUGCAUUUGAAACUGAAUAACUAGAGAUUAGGAGAGGAAAGGGGAACUCACAGUGUAGCGGUGAAAUGCGUAGAUAUUGUGAGGAACACCAGUGGCGAAGGCGC
rnacentral:rRNA from 1 species